AUUCUUACCUGGCGUAGGGAUACCGUGAUCAUGCAGGCGGGUCCCCAAGGCGAGGCUGCUCCAUUGCACUGCGGAGUGGUUGACCCUUGCGAUUAUUAUUAUUUAGAUAACGCUCAAGGAU
rnacentral:snRNA from 9 species